UCAGACGAUGCGUCAUGCAUAUCAAUAAGCGGAGGAAAAGAAACUAACAAGGAUUCCCUUAGUAACGGCGAGUGAAGCGGGAAGAGCUCAAAUUUGAAAUCUUCAAGGUUUUACCUUGACGAAUUGUAGUUUAAAGAAGUGUUUUCUGUUGAAGUUUUGGUAAAAGUUCUUUGGAAUAGGACAUCAUAGAGGGUGAGAAUCCCGUAUUUGACCAUUCUUUCUAGCUGUGUGAUACACUUUCAAAGAGUCGGAUUGUUUGGGAAUGCAGUCCAAAAUGGGUGGUAAAUUUCAUCUAAAGCUAAAUAUUGGCGAGAGACCGAUAGCGAACAAGUACCGUGAGGGAAAGAUGAAAAGAACUUUGAAAAGAGAGUUAAACAGUACGUGAAAUUGUCAAAAGGGAAGCGUUUGACACCAGUGUUGUUUUCUCGAAAAUCAAUUAAAAAGAGUUGGAUUUUGUGUUGUAUUGACCUUAACAGCUUGCUUCACUCUUUUCCUGCUUUUUUUAAUGCACUUUUCGUUUAACAAGUCAACAUCAGUUUCUUUUGUUGUAAAAGGGUCAUUGGAAGGUGGCUUUCUCUUCGGAGAAAGUGUUUAUAGCCUUUGAUCUCUGCAAUCGGAGAGACUGAGGUCUGCAGCGUAGAUCCUUCGGGGUUAGAUACAUUUGUGCUAAGCUACAGCUUUUCAUAGACAACUUGUUGACUAUGUUUAGUCUUGUAACUUACCCGCUUAUGCUAUUUUACCUACGCUUAGGAUGUUGAUAUGCAUGACUGAUAU
rnacentral:rRNA from 1 species